rnacentral:rRNA from 1 species
GUGGGGAAUAUUGGGCAAUGGGCGCAAGCCUGACCCAGCAACGCCGCGUGAGGGAAGAAGGCUUUCGGGUUGUAAACCUCUGUCCUUGGUGACGAAAAAAAUGACGGUAGCCAAGGAGGAAGCCCCGGCUAACUACGUGCCAGCAGCCGCGGUAAUACGUAGGGGGCGAGUGUUGUCCGGAAUUACUGGGCGUAAAGGGUGCGUAGGUGGCCUUUUAAGUUGGAUGUGAAAUAACCGGGCUUAACUAGGGGGGUGCAUCCAAAACUGGGAGGCUAGAGUGCAGGAGAGGAAAGCGGAAUUCCUAGUGUAGCGGUGAAAUGCGUAGAUAUUAGGAGGAACACCAGUGGCGAAGGCGGCUUUCUGGACUGUAACUGACACUGAGGCACGAAAGCGUGGGGAGCAAACAGGAUUAGAUACCCGGGUAGUCC